AGAUCACAAUGUGGGAGUCCACUGCAAUAAUCCAGGAGAGAAAUCAUGUGAGCUUGAGAAGGAAUCAGAUUCUGCAUAUAUUUCCAAGUUAACAUGAACAAGAUUUUCUGAAAGACUGCUAUGGAGUCUGAGAAAAAAUGUCAAAGGUAGUGCCAAAAUUGUCACUUAAAGAACUGCAGGAAUGGAGUUGGCAUUUACAGAAUUUGGAAGAGAAGCAGGUUUAGUGAUAAAGACCAGAAGCACAGAGCUAAGCAUAUUAAAUGUGAGUUGUCUAUUAGGCAUUCAAGAAGACAUAUAGAGUGGGCAGUGGCUAUAUGAGGCUAGAGUUCUGGGAAGGCUGGGCUGAUGACAGAAAUGUAUUAGUCAUUAACAUUUAUGUGUGUGUGUACACAUAUGCACAUGAACACUGGAUAUGCGAAUGCACAGAUUGAGGACAUGAAGAGGAAAGAACUGACAGAGGAGGUGAAGAAAGGUGAUCAGGAAGAGCCAUCAAAGUGUUAUCCUGGAAUUCAAGUGAAGACAGUGUUUCAAAGAUAUGCCACAGAGAGGAUCCAGAGAGCCCAUCUCCGGUCAGUUAUCUGUAUUUGUAUGUCAACUACAGCAUCAAAAAGCAUAGGCAUGGAUACUAAGGACCCCCUCUGUACACCAACGCCAGUCCAAAGGACAGUGUGUCACUGUGAACUGGAAAUUCAUCUCUCUUCUUCAAUUUUUUUCUACCUACUUUAUGCUUUAUCUCUAAGUUGAGGCUGUUUAUGGCCUCAUCCUCAAUUACCUUGUCCCUCAUUACUCCCAGUUAAUGGAGAUUAAGCUUUGUAUCAUGACUUCCUAACUAAAAUUGAAAUCACAAGACAUCACAUAAAUAAAGUUACAAAUGGAUUAGAUAAA
ensembl:lncRNA LINC02790 long intergenic non-protein coding RNA 2790